rnacentral:rRNA from 1 species
AAACCAACAGGGAUUGCCUUAGUAACGGCGAGUGAAGCGGCAAAAGCUCAAAUUUGAAAUCCGUCUUAUGGCGGAGUUGUAAUUUGAAGAUAGCAAUUCUUGAAACGGUCCUGCUCAAGUUCCUUGGAAUAGGACAUCAUGGAGGGUGAGAAUCCCGUGAUGCGGGAGUUCCGUUUCUCUACAGAGUGCUAUCGACGAGUCGAGUUGUUUGGGAAUGCAGCUCCAAGUGGGUGGUAAAUUCCAUCUAAGGCUAAAUAUUGGCGAGAGACCGAUAGCGAACAAGUACUGUGAAGGAAAGAUGAAAAGCACUUUGAAAAGAGAGUGAAAUAGAACGUGAAAUUGUUGAAGUGGAAGGGUUUAAAGUUAGACAUGGUAGCUAGUGCUCCACGAUCCCUCGGGGUCGUGUACUCGCUAGUUGCUGGGCCAGCAUCAGUUUUGGCGGAAAUACAAAAGCAGAGGAAUGUGGCUUCCUUCGGGUAGUGUUAUAGCCUCUGCCAAUGUUUCCUCGCCGGGACUGAGGACCGCGCAUUUUGCUAGGAUGUUGGCGUAAUGAUUUUAAACCAC